GGGCCCAUAGCUCAGUCAGGUAGAGAGAACCAUCUAACGGUUCCUAUAGCGGCCGGCUCUUAACCGGCAGGUCGCGGGAUCAAAGCCCGCUGGGCCCG
rnacentral:tRNA from 1 species